GACGAACGCUGGCGGCGUGCUUAACACAUGCAAGUCGAACGGAAAGGCCCUGCUUUUGUGGGGUGCUCGUGUGGCGAACGGGUGAGUAACACGUGAGUAACCUGCCCUUGACUUUGGGAUAACUUCAGGAAACUGGGGCUAAUACCGGAUAGGAGCUCCUGCUGCAUGGUGGGGGUUGGAACGUUUCGGCGGUUGGGGAUGGACUCGCGGCUUAUCCGCUUGUUGGUGGGGUAGUGGCUUACCAAGGCUUUGACGGGUAGCCGGCCUGAGAGGGUGACCGGCCACAUUGGGACUGAGAUACGGCCCAGACUCCUACGGGAGGCAGCAGUGGGGAAUAUUGCACAAUGGGCGGAAGCCUGAUGCAGCAACGCCGCGUGCGGGAUGACGGCCUUCGGGUGGUAAACCGCUUUCGCCUGUAACGAAGCGUGAGUGACGGUAAUGAGUAAAGAAGCACCGGCUAACUACGUG
rnacentral:rRNA from 1 species